rnacentral:rRNA from 1 species
UACUACAUUCAUAAGCGGAGGAAAGAAACUAACAAGGAUUCCCCUAGUAACUGCGAGUGAAGCGGGAAAAGCUCAAAUUUAAAAUCUGGCAGUCUCUGGCUGUCCGAGUUGUAAUCUAGAGAAGUAAUGCCCGUGCUGGACCGUGUAUAAGUCUCCUGGGAUGGGGCGUCAUAGAGGGUGAGAAUCCCGUCUUUGACACGGACUACCAGUGCAUUGUGGUAUGCUCUCAAAGAGUCGAGUUGUUUGGGAAUGCAGCUCAAAAUGGGUGGUAAAUUCCAUCUAAAGCUAAAUAUUGGCGAGAGACCGAUAGCGAACAAGUACCGUGAGGGAAAGAUGAAAAGAACUUUGGAAAGAGAGUUAAACAGUACGUGAAAUUGCUGAAAGGGAAACGCUUGAAGUCAGUCGCGUUGGCCGGGAAUCAGCCUUGCUUUUGCAUGGUGUACUUUCUGGUUGACGGGUCAGCAUCAAUUUUGACCACUGGAAAAAGGCCUGGGGAAUGUGGCAGCUUCGGCUGUGUUAUAGCCCCUAGUCACAUACAGUGGUUGGGAUUGAGGAACUCAGCACGCCGCAAGGCCGGGUUUCGACCACGUUCGUGCUUAGGAUGCUGGCAUAAUGGCUUUAAGCGACCCGUCUUGAAACACGGACCAAGGAGUCUAACAUGCCUGCGAGUAUUUGGGUGGAAAACUCAAGUGCGUAAUGAAAGUGAAAGUUGAGAUCCCUGUCGUGGGGAGCAUCGACGCCCGGACCAGAACUUUUGGGACGGAUCCGCGGUGGAGCAUGUAUGUUGGGACCCGAAAGAUGGUGAACUAUGCCUGAAUAGGGUGAAGCCAGAGGAAACUCUGGUGGAGGCUCGUAGCGAUUCUGACGUGCAAAUCGAUCGUCAAAUUUGGGUAUAGGGGCGAAAGACUAAUCGAACCAGCAUGCC